CCUUCUAUAACUUAGUGGUUAGAGUAUUGCUUUCACACAACGGGAGUCAUUGGUUCAAAUCCAAUAGUAGGU
rnacentral:tRNA from 1 species